rfam:Oryza barthii chromosome 9, whole genome shotgun sequence.
AAAAAACUUAAACAUGGAUUUUCAUGUCUAACAUUUAACCGUUCGUCUUAUUUAAAAAAAUUAUAAAAAAAAUUAAAAACACAAGCCACGCAUAAAGUAUUAAUCAUGUUUUAUCAUCUAACAACAAUAAAAAUACUAAUUAUAAAAAAAAUUAUAUGAGACGAACAGUCAAAUGUUAGGCAUGGAAACCCAAGGUUUAUCUACUC